UCAGGCAGAGGAGCAGCAGGAAGGAUCAGGGAACUCUGAAGAUUCAGUUUAUUGAGGAAAUUGUGGAUCAACAGGGCUGUUGUCACAGGGGCACAUACCUACAUGUCUGCCAGGAGAGAUCUGUGGGGAUCACAAGUUUGCUGAAAGAACACGAGUAUUGAAUAGCUGUCUUCCUAUACUGUUUGCCUGCCCAGGAGAACCUCAGCUCCCCUGCACUGUCCUGGAAUCACCAUUAAUCUAUCAAAGAAGGCCAA